rnacentral:rRNA from 1 species
AGGACUAACGCUGGCGGCGUGCCUAACACAUGCAAGUCGAACGAGGUAGCAAUACCUAGUGGCAGACGGGUGAGUAACGCGUGGUCAACCUACCUCUUAGUGGGGGAUAACUAGCCGAAAGGUUAGCUAAUACCGCAUACGAUCGUCGCGAGGCAUCUCGUGACGAUGAAAGGAGCAAUUCGCUAAGAGAGGGGACUGCGUCCCAUUAGUUAGUUGGUGGGGUAAUGGCCUACCAAGACUCCGAUGGGUAGCUGGCUUGAGAGAGCGACCAGCCACACUGGAACUGAGACACGGUCCAGACUCCUACGGGAGGCAGCAGUGAGGAAUUUUCCGCAAUGGGCGCAAGCCUGACGGAGCGACGCCGCGUGUGGGAAGAAGGCCUUCGGGUCGUAAACCACUGUCGAAGGGGACGAUAUUGACGGUACCCUUGGAGGAGCCCGGCUAACUACGUGCCAGCAGCCGC